AAAUUAGCACAGCCAAGGGAACAGUCGAUUCUGUCCUUUCUUCUUAAUCCCUUGGCUUAGGGUUUCCCCGGCCUGGACAGCCUGUCCGAGGGGAAGGCUGCCCAAGGGCACACGGGCAUCCGUCCGGGGACAUUCAGGCAGUGACCAAUCCGCGGCUGCCCUGCUAUGUGCCCUGCACCGUGGGCCUUUUCCCAGCCGGCCGGUGAGGGAACAGCCACUGUGGGUCCCCGAGUCUUGACGAGAUGGUCAAGGAUGGACCGGUGAUGGAGACCGGCGUGCAGCCAUGUCUGUGGGUGAAGGAGGAUGCAGGUCAGAUGGAGGACAUCUUUGCUGUCCCCUCGGCCAAGCCAUGAAAAGCAACCCUCUCCCCCAAGCCCCCAGCACCAACCUGGAGACCAGCAUGGGCUGGAGCCCAGCAUGGCCACCAUCGCAUCUUGGCCAUCCAGCUCGGGACAGAUCGUUCCUCUUCUAGAGCUGCCCCUUCCAUCAGGACACCUGGGCCCCGGCCUCCUCUCCCAGGCCCUCUCUCUUCCAUUCUCACCAUCUGCCCCCUUCCCCAAAACUCCUCGCUAUCCCCUUGUCUUUGCUCUCUCCCAAUAUCCUUUCCCUUUCUAUAAAAGUCUGUUUUGUCCCUA